UGCACAGCGGCACUUUAGUCGAUAACAAUGUUUUCCGUGAAGAAAGUUGCCAUCCUACAGACCCUUCUACAGAUCAGUCUACCGGCCAGUGUAGGUACAAGCCAUCCUACCACAGACCUCACCACUGUUAGUCGUAAAAGAAGAAGAAAAAAAGAAGUAAACAAAAAGACUUUCGCUCUACCGUCGUUGGAUCAUCACGGCUUCUUCACCUUGUCUCUAUUGUUAAUCUAAGUCCAUUCACGACCUCAUAAGUUACGUUUGUCGUCUCGUUGUUAUUAAUUAUAAAGAAAUAUUUCCCUUA